rnacentral:sRNA from 1 species
UAUAAUAGUUAGGCUUUUAAGAUCCAGUUGCGGUUCUAGUUGUUAUACUCAAUGAUACACAUGACAUCAAGUCAUAUUUGACUCCAAAACACUAACCAAGCUUCUUCUUGCUUCUCAAAGCUUUGAUGGUCUAGCCGUAGUCGGUUGAGUCUUUGGCUUUGUAUCUUCUAACAAGGAUACAAUACUUAGGCUUUUAGGAUCC